rnacentral:rRNA from 1 species
GACGAACGCUGGCGACGUGCUUAACACAUGCAAGUCGAACGGUGAACGAGGGAGCUUGCUCCCUCCGGAUCAGUGGCGAACGGGUGAGUAACACGUGAGCAAUCUGCCCCGAACUCUGGGAUAAGCGUUGGAAACGACGUCUAAUACCGGAUACGACGCGGGAGGGCAUCCUCUCCGCGUGGAAAGAACUUCGGUUCGGGAUGAGCUCGCGGCCUAUCAGCUUGUUGGUGAGGUAACGGCUCACCAAGGCGACGACGGGUAGCCGGCCUGAGAGGGUGACCGGCCACACUGGGACUGAGACACGGCCCAGACUCCUACGGGAGGCAGCAGUGGGGAAUAUUGCACAAUGGGCGCAAGCCUGAUGCAGCAACGCCGCGUGAGGGACGACGGCCUUCGGGUUGUAAACCUCUUUUAGCAGGGAAGAAGCGAAAGUGACGGUACCUGCAGAAAAAGCACCGGCUAACUACGUG